rnacentral:lncRNA from 10 species
UAGAGACGGGGUUUCAUCAUGUUAGCCAGGUUGGUCUCAAACUCUUGACCUCAACUGAUCUGGUGCCUCGGCCUCCCAAAGUGCUGGGAUUACAGACAUGAGCCAUCGCGCCUGGCCACCAGGUGCUGGUUUCUGCUGCAGACACAGGCUCUCCAGGCAGCCCUGUGCUCUUUGCAGCUAUUCCUGGAAGCCUUGGGACGUCUCACCGAUGCCCUCCAUGUUCGGUUCUGCACACCUGCCCUUCUACGAGUCUCUUCUCUCAACGCCUCCUUACCCGGUUGCUGUCCAUAUUGCAGAAGAGGGCAGGGCCCAGGGAGCUGAAUCCCGGCAAGUCCACGCUGCUGAGCUCCCAAGACCUUCAGUAAAGUAGGAUUGUCUCUUUCACACCUAGCCCUGCAUCCACCGCCAUCGACCCAGGGUUCUCUCUGCAGCUCUAGCACCUGGCAUCCUCAGACAUCUUCUUAAUACUCACGCAAGUUCUACAGAUGAGAAAAUGAGGCUUCAAAAGAUGAAGACCACACGAUGACUGAAUGGAUGGUGCUGAGUUAUAAUAGCAGUAUCUGUCAUGUAUGGGUUGCUUCCUAUGGGAUAAGCACAAUGAUGCCAUUUCAUUUUAUCCACUCAAUGGCAUACACUGGGAUAGCAUAACAAUAGAACACAUGGGACUCUGAAUUCUGCAGGCUAGGUUUAAUUCUGUUUCUGCUACAUAAUAGCAAAAGAGUUCAUCUUGAUUCUGCUACAUAAUAGCAAAACAGUUCAUCUUGAUUCUGCUACAUAAUAGCAAAACAGUUCAUCUUGCUUUAAGUCAUAAGUCACGGCUCCGAAAAGGACACCCCAAGUAUGGCCUUGACCUGCUGAGGACUUUGAACUAAAGGGCAUUGGAAAGCCUCAGAAGCAGCCUCAGAACCAAGUCUCUGACCUUCUCCUGCCCUCCUGUCUCUCGCCCCUCAUUCCCCCAAGAAGUGAGUCAUAGAAACCAGAAAUCCUCUUCCCUAAAGCAGGUCACGGAAACUAGAAUCUCUUUCCCCAAAGCCAGCCAUUAGAAACUAGAAUCACUACUGGAACUUUCCCUGCCUUUCUGAGUAAGAGCUGGCCAUAAAGAAGUUCUCUGACUUACUUUCCUGAAAGUAGGUUAUAAGACCCUCAUUCCAGAAGGGGCCCUGCCCUACACGCAGGAAGAAGGAACGCCACACAGGGAGGCCAAGAGGAACCCAGACAGGCCCAGCUGGGUCCCCCUCUGUCUGUCACUGUCCCAUCGCUCCCUCUGUGUCCAGUCACAGCUCCGCAGGGCUACCACUCUUCAUCAAAUCUAAGCAUAGAAAUGGGCAGUUUUCCCUUGGUUCUUUGGGUCUUCAUUUCCUAAGGCUCCCAUGUUAUGUAAAACUUUGAUUAAACAAAUCUGUGUGCUUUUCUCUUGUUAACCUGUCUUUUGUUACAGGAGAAUCGGCAGUGGCCCCUUAGCAUGGUGGCACACGUCUGUAAUCCCAGGUACUUGGGAGGCUGAGGCACGAGAAUCACUAGAACCUAGAAGGAGGAUGUUGCAGUGAGCUGAGAUUGCACCACUGCACUCCAGCCUGGGCAACAGAGCAAGACUCCCAUCUCAAAAAAAAAAUUAAAUUAAAUAAAAAUUAAAAAAAAUUAAAAC